AGAUUGAACGCUGGCGGCGUGCCUAACACAUGCAAGUCGCACGAGAAAGGGGAGCAAUCCCUGAGUAAAGUGGCGCACGGGUGAGUAACACGUGAAUAAUCUACCUCCGAGUGGGGAAUAACUGAGAGAAAUCUUAGCUAAUACCGCAUAACACUUACGAGUCAAAGCAGCAAUGCGCUUGGAGAGGAGUUCGCGGCCGAUUAGUUAGUUGGCGGGGUAAUGGCCCACCAAGACGAUGAUCGGUA
rnacentral:rRNA from 1 species